rnacentral:misc_RNA from 1 species
UCAAACUUGGUCAUUUAGAGGAAGUAAAAGUCGUAACAAGGUCUCCGUUGGUGAACCAGCGGAGGGAUCAUUACCGGGUCCUCGACUUACCCGAAACCAAACGUGCACCUACAAAACACUUCGCUGCGGCGGGUCGCUCGCUGGGGGAGCCACCGGGCCGAGAGGCUGGCCCGCCAAUGCAGCGAGAGCAUUAGCUCUGAAUUGAAGCCGAGGCGCUCUGAAAAUGACUUCUGAAGCACUACGUGAGCCGCCCCGCAAGGGAAGCGGCGAAACGACUAGUUACAACCCAUAACGAUGGAUCUCUUGGCUCUGGCAUCGAUGAAGAACGCAGC